rnacentral:rRNA from 1 species
CACGCCGUAAACGAUGAAUACUAGGUGUAGGGGGUAUCGACCCCCUCUGUGCCGCAGCUAACGCAAUAAGUAUUCCACCUGGGGAGUACGGCCGCAAGGCUAAAACUCAAAGGAAUUGAC